rnacentral:lncRNA from 1 species
GAGGUCUGUGAUUAGCUCUACCUGACUGGGCACCUACCUGGAUCUUCCAUGAUUAAAAAAUUCAUUUUCUUGGCUAUCAUCAACCUUCUUUUCUCUUUAGGUCUUGGAGUAACAUGAGUAGUUUAAGAGCAAAACUACUGACAGUGGUUUUGAGGAUGGAAUAUAGUUUGAGGCAUUUACUGUUCUAUGGGAUCUCUUGAACAAGAUUAGUUUAAAAACAGUGGCAUCUGAUGGAUAGAAU